GGAAGUAUGGUUUGAGAACGAUCAUAGGAAUUUAGAGUUCAUUUGAUCCAUCCUGUACAAGGAUGUUUAAAAACUAAAAUCUUCAGAGUAGGAUAUGUCACUGGUGGUAUAAAAGAAAGAACACUAUACUAGAAGUCACUAAAUCUGCUUUCAAGACCAUUCACUACCAUGUGUCAUAGCAUCAUAAGAUCUUAGAUUUAAAACAGAAGACAACCUUAAAAAUCACCAUAUCAAACACAUGUGUGUGUGUGCGCGCACACGCAAAAUGAAGAAAUGACUAGCUGGUGACUUGAGAAUUUUCUGCCUAGGUAACAAGAAGAAGGAUGGUAAUUUUGAAGAAGUGAGAGAAGACUAGGAAGGAUAGUUGGUUGGAAGGAAGGGUAACAACUACCAUUUUAGACAUUGAGUUCUAGAUGCAAAAAUGCAUAGAGGUUUGCUUUUCUGUCAAGAAUUUGGAGAUGUUUACAUAAAGAACAGAAGAAGGUAAGAUUGAAGAUGUAUAAAAAAUCAAUUUUUUUAGAAGUUUUACAGUCAAAGAAUAUAAAGUUUUUGAGGGAGAGGAAUUAGUUUUCCCAGGACUGGACUUUGGGAUAUACUCAUACUGAAGGAAUGGAAUGAAGAUUUAAAGGUAAUAAUUGACUGAAAAAAAAGCUCAAGAUAUAGAAAGGAUAUCAACCAAAUGUUUUAGAAGUAGAGGCAAUUUAGUGCUGCAGUGAACAAAACACUGGACUUAGUCAGAAGGUCUAGAGUUCAAAUUUGACUUCAGUUAUUUAGUAGUUGUAUAAAGCAAACCCCCAACCUCAUCUACCACAAUUUCUUUGCCUAUAAAAUGAAGACAAUAAUAGUACCUCUCUCCAAAGGUUGUUGUAAGGAUCAAGUGAGAUAAUAUUUAUAAAGCAUUUAGCACAGUUUCUAGUGCCAGGUAGGUAUUAAUAAAUAUUUGUUACUUACCUUCUUUUGUAAUUAUAAAGAGUAAGAAGCCAGGAAAAAGAGGCAAAAAUAUACUUUCUUUCUUUCCAGAGGUUAGAGAUGAUAGCUAUGGAAUAUUGCAGAAACUGAAAGACACACAGGUUGAAGAGUUGAAUAUGAUGUGGGAGAUGAUGGUAAUGACUCAUAUAAAGAUGAAGAAACUGAGGCUUAAUAAUGUUAAAUGA
rnacentral:lncRNA from 1 species